UGGGGAAUAUUGCACAAUGGGCGGAAGCCUGAUGCAGCAACGCCGCGUGAGCGAUGAAGGCCUUUGGGUCGUAAAGCUCUGUCCUUGGGGAAGAAAAAAAUGACGGUACCCUUGGAGGAAGCCCCGGCUAACUACGUGCCAGCAGCCGCGGUAAUACGUAGGGGGCAAGCGUUAUCCGGAAUGAUUGGGCGGAAAGAGUGCGUAGGUGGUCCGGUAAGCGCGGGGUGAAAGGCAAGGGCUCAACUAUUGUAAGCCUUGCGAACUG
rnacentral:rRNA from 1 species